rnacentral:rRNA from 1 species
GAUGAACGCUGGCGGCGUGCCUAAUACAUGCAAGUCGAGCGAACGGACGAGAAGCUUGCUUCUCUGAUGUUAGCGGCGGACGGGUGAGUAACACGUGGAUAACCUACCUAUAAGACUGGGAUAACUUCGGGAAACCGGGGCUAAUACCGGAUAAUAUUUUGAACCGCAUGGUUCAAAAGUGAAAGACGGUCUUGCUGUCACUUAUAGAUGGAUCCGCGCUGCAUUAGCUAGUUGGUAAGGUAACGGCUUACCAAGGCAACGAUGCAUAGCCGACCUGAGAGGGUGAUCGGCCACACUGGAACUGAGACACGGUCCAGACUCCUACGGGAGGUAGCAGUAGGGAAUCUUCCGCAAUGGGCGAAAGCCUGACGGAGCAACGCCGCGUGAGUGAUGAAGGUCUUCGGAUCGUAAAACUCUGUUAUUAGGGAAGAACAUAUGUGUAAGUAACUGUGCACAUCUUGACGGUACCUAAUCAGAAAGCCACGGCUAACUACGUG